GACGAACGCUGGCGGCGUGCUUAACACAUGCAAGUCGAACGGAAAGGCCUGCUUUCCCUUGUGGAUUGCGGGUGCUCGAGUGGCGAACGGGUGAGUAACACGUGAGUGAUCUGCCCCCAACUUGGGUAUAAGCCCGGGAAACUGGGUCUAAUUCCCGAUAGGACUGCAGGGUGGUGCCUGUGGUGGAAAACGAUUUUCUAGUGGUUGGGGAUGAGCUCGCGGCCUAUCAGCUUGUUGGUGGGGUAAUGGCCUACCAAGGCGGCGACGGGUAGCCGGCCUGAGAGGGUGGACGGCCGCAUUGGGACUGAGAUACGGCCCAGACUCCUACGGGAGGCAGCAGUGGGGAAUAUUGCACAAUGGGCGGAAGCCUGAUGCAGCGACGCCGCGUGGGGGAUGACGGCCUUCGGGUUGUAAACUCCUUUCGACCGCGAGGAAGCCACCUGGUUGGAAGGGUGGUGACGGUAGUGGUAGAAGAAGCACCGGCUAACUACGUG
rnacentral:rRNA from 1 species